rnacentral:rRNA from 1 species
UACGAAGGGGGCGAGCGUUGUUCGGAAUUACUGGGCGUAAAGGGCGCGUAGGCGGCCACCGCAAGUCGACUGUGAAAUCUCCGGGCUUAACCCGGAAAGGUCAGCCGAUACUGCGGGGCUAGAGUGCAGAAGGGGCAACUGGAAUUCUCGGUGUAGCGGUGAAAUGCGUAGAUAUCGAGAGGAACACCUGCGGCGAAGGCGGGUUGCUGGGCUGACACUGACGCUGAGGCGCGAAAGCUAGGGGAGCAAACGGG